GACGGAGGAUGCAAGUGUUAUCCGGAAUCACUGGGCGUAAAGCGUCUGUAGGUGGUUCGAAAAGUCCACUGUUAAAAAUUGAGGCUUAACUUCAAAGAUGCCGUGGAAACUUUCAAACUAGAGUGUGGUAGGGGUAGAGGGAAUUUCCAGUGGAGCGGUGAAAUGCGUAGAUAUUGGAAAGACCACCGAUGGCGAAGGCACUCUACUGGGCCAUUACUGACACUGAGAGACGAAAGCUAGGGGAGCAAAUGGG
rnacentral:rRNA from 1 species